rnacentral:rRNA from 1 species
CCUACGGGGGGCAGCAGUGGGGAAUAUUGCACAAUGGGCGCAAGCCUGAUGCAGCCAUGCCGCGUGUGUGAAGAAGGCCUUCGGGUUGUAAAGCACUUUCAGCGGGGAGGAAGGCGGUGAGGUUAAUAACCUCAUCGAUUGACGUUACCCGCAGAAGAAGCACCGGCUAACUCCGUGCCAGCAGCCGCGGUAAUACGGAGGGUGCAAGCGUUGAUCGGAAUUACUGGGCGUAAAGCGCACGCAGGCGGUCUGUCAAGUCGGAUGUGAAAUCCCCGGGCUCAACCUGGGAACUGCAUUCGAAACUGGCAGGCUAGAGUCUUGUAGAGGGGGGUAGAAUUCCAGGUGUAGCGGUGAAAUGCGUAGAGAUCUGGAGGAAUACCGGUGGCGAAGGCGGCCCCCUGGACAAAGACUGACGCUCAGGUGCGAAAGCGUGGGGAGCAAACAGGAUUAGAUACCCUGGUAGUC